AACGCAUAUUGCGCCUAAUGGUAUUCCAUUGGGCAUACCUGUUUGAGUGUCAGAAUCCUCACAAUUAUCAAACUGUUAAAUAUGUACUAUUUAUUUUUUUUUAUCAAUAGACAUAUAUAUAAUGAUGUUUGGACUAUUAUUGAGAAAAGUAGUAUUUAUUAAAAUAUUACUUUCUUAAAAAUCAGGAUGAUUUUUGUUUUGAUUUUUGAUCAACUCAUUUUGUAUGCAAUAUAACAAAUGAGUAUGAAUAAAAGCAACAAUACUUUAUUUUGGAUGACCUCAAAUCAGGUAGGGAUACCCGCUGAACUUAA
rnacentral:misc_RNA from 1 species